CUACGGGUUGCAGCAGUAGAGAAUCUUCCACAAUGGGCGAAAGCCUGAUGGAGCGACACCGCGUGAUGGAUGAAGGCCUAUGGGUUGUAAACAUCUUUUCUGAGGGAAGAAAAUCUGACGGUACCUCAGGAAUAAGCACCGGCUAAUUACGUGCCAGCAGCCGCGGUAAUACGUAAGGUGCAAGCGUUAUCCGGAAUUAUUGGGCGUAAAGCGUCCGCAGGUUGUUUAAAAAGUCAGUUAUUAAAUACCAGUGCUCAACAUUGGUGCUGUAAUUGAAACUAUUAAGCUAGAGAAUGGGAGAGGUAUGUGGAAUUAUGCAAGUAGGGGUAAAAUCCGUAGAUAUGCAUAGGAACACCAAAAGCGAAGGCAGCAUACUGGACCAUUUCUGACACUCAUGGACGAAAGCGUGGGGAGCAAAAGGGAUUAGAUACCCUAGUAGUC
rnacentral:rRNA from 1 species